AUUGUCAAAUAAAAAAAAAAAAGGGUAAGGGUUAGCAUCGGAGUACAGCACACCCGGUAUACGCUAAAAACGCUCACUUUUACACACGUAUAACUUCUGAACCAAUGAAUUCCGCGCCUUGAAACUUGGAUUUUUAGAUUCUAUACGUAAAAUACUUCAAGAAGGUAAAAAAAAAGGCCAUAAUUUUUGGGCCCCUGAGGAACUUACCAUUCCAAAAGUGAAUAUCGAAGGAUACACGCGUACAUUAUAUAUUUGCAAAGGGGACAAAGGUAUUAAUACUUCGGUAUUAAUACUAGACGGUAAACGAAGGAGUCUAUCUAGUAUUUCGCUGUCCGGCUCUUCUGGGACUUGGCUUUUCAUUGUAUCCUGAAAAUAAAAUAAA